AAUUUAUACAACCGCGGGCUCCGCCACCGUGUUUUGUUGUUUUGGUUUCCAACGAGAAAAUAGUUUUUUAAAAUUUAAAUAUUCAAAGCUGAGCAAAAACUGCAAUUUUGCUGUAGAAAUGUUUGUUUAGAAGUGAUAGUGAAAGGACUGUGAUAUAAUGUUUCAAGACGAAAGCCAAGAGCCAGUUUCGUUCGACUCUUCUUGGAAGACAAAACGGUAUAAAAAUAAAUUGUGAUGUUUUGAAGCGAAAGUGUUUGUAGUGCAGAAAGUAGUUUUGUUUUGAAAGUUUUAUAAUUAAUGAACAAGGCUUGUGAAGUAGUUAGUUUUAGUUUGUAAUGGUGUGGUUGCUUCGGGUUUUUGUCAAUAGGAAGUGACUGAAAUUAAUUCUUAUAUUCCCGGGGUAUUUACAAAAUUAUGUACUGUACCAAAUGUAUUUUUGCAAAAUUACUAAGUUUGGUAGAGUAGUACGUGU